GAGAAACACUCUUAAGUGGAGAAGGAACAGCAUGUUCAAAGGCUUGGGAAGGGGAAAGGAACACAGGUCAAGUAACAUGAGGACUGAAAACCAUCCACUGGAUUCAGCAAAGAGCUGAUCCCCUGUAAGCCAGUGAAGGUGGGCUCCAGGAAGACUGGAGUGCUGGAAAAGAGAGCAGGAGGUGAGGAAACAAACAGCAAAUGCACACAACUCUCCAAAACUAAAGGAUUUCUGUGAUUCACAUGGAGGAAUUUCACUCAAUGCCAAGGUCCAGGGUGUGACUCUGGGAGCAGCUGCGGGGGGAAUGCAGAGGAAACGUUUCCUGGUUGGGAGAGGCCAGGGUGUUGGAGGAGCCAGCCGUGCUGAUGCUGAAAUCGUCCAAGAUGAUGGCAGGACUGGGUGGAGAAAGUCUGUAAGCUGGUGCCAAAAUCCUCAAGGAAUGAAAGGUGGUAAGUGACGGUGAUGAAAAGGAGAAAAGGUCAGUAUCUCUAAAUAGCACAUCUCUUAGAGAAGGGAAGCAGACUGUGGAAGUUAUUUGUUUGUUUAAAUAGGAGGAUGGGAGAAGGCAGUUCUAAAAUAAGAGGAAAUGAAAGGAUGCUUACCUAUAUCCUGACUUGGAGGGCUGGGGAGUGUGAAAAGAGGUGUGAGAGCGGUUAACAAGAAGUCAACUCAGGGUGAGGGUUAUAGAUGUUAAUAGAUGGAGUUGGAGAGCAUGUUCUGGAAGGGACUGAAGAUAUAAGGGAGGUUGUUUUUCCUGUAACCCAAGUGGAAGUGUAUGAGGCAGGGAAUGGAAGGCUGGGCCAGGGGCAAGGAUAUAUAGACAUGAAGUCUGAUUGAGAAAUAGAUGCAAACAGAGCAGGAGUUGGGGGUGUGAAGAAGGGGAAAACAAAAACAAAAGGGGUCACAAAUAUGGUGACUGCAAAGGCAGUUAAAUCUAAGCUAAGAUUAGGCAAUCUGGAAGAAAUGGAUGCAUUCCUAGAGAUGUAUAAACUACCAAAACUGAACCAGGAAGAAACAGAAAACCUGAAGAGACUCAUAGCCAGCAAAGAAAUUGAAACCAUAAUCAAAAAUCUUCCAACAAACAAGAGUCCAGGGCCGAUGGCUUCCUAGAGGAAUUCUACCAAACAUUUAAAGAAGAAUUAAUACCUAUUCUUCUGAAGCUCUUUCAAAAAAUAGAAGGGGAAGGAAAACUUCCAGACUCUUUCUAUGAGGCCAGCAUUACCUUGAUCCCCAAACCAGACAAAGACCCCAACAAAAAGGAGAGUUACAGACCACUAUUUUGGAUGAACAUGGAUGCCAAAAUUCUCACCAAGAUACUGGCCAGUAGGAUCCAACCAUAUAUUAAAAGGAUUAUUCACCAUGACCAAGUGGGAUUUAUUCCUGGGCUGCAAGAGGUGGUUCCAUAUCCACCAGUCAAUGUGAUACAUCACAUUAAUAAAAGAAAGGACAAGAGCCAUAUGAUCCUCUCAAUAGAUGCAGAAAAAGCAUUUCACAAAGUACAGCACCCUUUCUUGAUCAAAACUCUUCACAGUGUAGGGAUAGAAGGUACAUACCUCAAUAUCCUAAAAACCAUCUAUGAAAAACCCACCGUAAAUAUCAUGCUCAAUGGGGAAAAACUGAGAGCUUUCCCCCUAAAGUCAGGAACACAUCAGGCAUGUCCACUCUCACCACUGUUGUUCAACAUAGUACUAGAAGUCCUAGCCUCAGCAAUCAGACAACAAAAAGAAAUCAAAGGCAUCAAAAUCAGCAAAGAUGAUGUCAAACUCUCACUCUUUGUAGAUGACAUGAUACUCUAUGUGGAGAACUCGAAAGACUCCACCCAAAAACUGCUAGAACUCAUACAGGAAUUCAUCAAAGUGGCAGGAUAUAAAAUCAAUGCACAGAAGUCAUUUGCAUUUCUAUACACUAACAACAAGGCAGAAGAAAGAGAAAUCAAGGAAUCAAUCCCAUUUACAAUUGCACCAAAAACCGUAAGAUACCUAGCAAUAAAUCUAACCAAAGAGGCAAAGAAUCUAUACUCAGAAAACUAUAGAACACUCAUGAAAAAAAUUGAGGAAGACACAAAGAAAUGGAAAAACAUCCCAUGCUCACGGAAGAACAAAUAUUGUUAAACAAAUACUGUUAAAAUGUUGAUGCUGCUUAGAGCAGUCUAUACAUUCAAUGCAAUCCCUAUUAAAUAUCAUCAACUUUAUUCAUAGAACUGGAACAAAUAAUCCUAAAAUUUGUAUGGAACCAGAAAAGAUCCUGAAUAGCCAGGGGAAUGUUGAAAAAGAAAACCAAAGCUGGUGGCAUCACAAUCCUGGGCUUCAAGCUGUAUGACAAAGCUGUAAUCAUCAAGACAGUAUUGUACUGGCACAAAAACAGACACAGAGAUCAAUGGAACAGAAUAGAGAGCCCAGAAAUGGACCCUCAACUCUAUGGUCAACUAGUCGUCGAAAGCAGGAAAGAAUGUCCAAUGGAAAAAAGACAGUCUCUUCAACAAAUGGUGUUGGGAAAAUUGGACAGCCACACAUAGAGCAAUGAAACUGGACCAUUUCCUUAUACCAUACACAAAAAUAGACUCAAAAUGGUUGAAAGACCUAAAUGUGAGACAGGAAUCCAUCAAAAUCCUAUAGGAGAACACAGGCAGCAACAUUGGCCGCAGCAACUUCUUGCUAGACAGGUCUCCAAAGGAAAGGGAAACAAAGGCAAAAAUGAACUAUUGGGACUUCAUCAAGAUAAAAAGCUUUUGCAUAGCAAAGAAAACAGUCAACAAAACCAAAAGACAACGACAGAAUGGGAGAAGAUAUUUGCAAAUGACAUAUCAGAUAAAGGGCUAGUAUCCAAAAUCUAUAAAGAACUUAUCAAACUCAACACCUAAGGAACAAAUAAUCCGAUCAAGAAAUGGGCAGAAGACAUGAACAGACAUUUCUGCAAAGAAGAUAUACAAAUGGCCAACAGACACAUGAAAAAGUGCUCAACAUCACUUGGCAUCAGGGAAAUCCAAAUCAAAACCACAAUGAGAUAUCACCUCACACCAGUCAGAAUGGCUAAAAUUAACAAGUCAGGAAAUGACAGAUAUUGGCAAGGAUGUGGAGAAAGGGGAACCCUCUUACACUGUUGGUGGGAAUGCAAGCUGGUGCAGCCACUCUGGAAAGCAGUAUGGAGGUUCCUCAAAAAGUUGAAAAUAGAGCUACCUUAAGACCCAGCAAUGCACUACAGGGUAUUUACCCCAAAGAUACAAAUGCAAUGAUCCAAAGGGGUACGUGCACCCCAAUGUUUAUAGCAGCAAUGUCCACAAUAGCCAAACUAUGGAAAGAGCCUAGAUAUCCAUCGACAGAUGAAUGGAAAAGAAGAUGUGGUGUGUACAUAGUGGAAUACUACUCAGCCAUUAAAAAAAUGAAAUCUUGCCAUUUGCAGUGACGUGGAUGGAAAUAUUGGGUAUUAUGCUAAGCAAAAUAAGUCAAUCAGAGAAAGAAAAUUAUCAUAUGAUCUCACUCCCAUGUGGAAUUUAAGAAACAAAACAGAGGAUCAUAGGGGAAGAGAGGAAAAAAUAAAACAAGACAAAACCAGAGAGGGAGGCAAACCGUAAGAGACUCUUAAUCUCAGGAAACAAAC